GACCACCCAGGAAUGGUGCCUAGCGUUAAGUCAGGGGCUCUGCCCCGCACUGUCUCAGCUCAUUUGUGAGUGGCGGCCUUGGUGGCUCCUGGCUUUGCCUUCUCUCUUUUCCACCUUUUGGCUAAAUCACCCAUGAUUGGUCCUUUCCCUAAAUGCUAACCAUGGAGGUUAGACCUCAGGGCAGCCAGAACCCUGACUGAGCAAGGGGAGGUUGACUCUCUUGUCCACAGUGAGCUUCCGUAGAGAUGACUAGCUCUUGUGUCUCUGUGUCUGCCUCCUUAGGCCAUCACUGCCAAACUGAGCGGGUGGGCUGGGGCCGGCUGAGCCGAGGGAUAGCAGCGCCUGCUAGGCAGCAGUAGGUACACUUCCCACCCCAGCCCCAGCUCGGAGGAAAGAAAGGAUGUGUCAAACACAGAAAGCUGCCUGACAGUCGUCAAAGGUGGCUUCCCACCCCAGCCCCAGCUCGGAGGAAAGAAAGGAUGUGUCAAACACAGAAAGCUGCCUGACAGUCGUCAAAGGUGGCGCCUCUGCUUUUUGCUUACCUCCCUUGCACAGGUAGCUGGGCUGCACUUGCUCUGCUGCUGCGGCGGCGGCGGCGGCGGCGGCGGCAAGAAGUCAGGUUCCCAAGCUCAGGCAGCUGGCCGGGCCUUGCCCUGUGGCAGCAGUUCUCAACCUUCCUCAUGCUGGCCCUUAAUACAGUUCCUCAUGUUGUGGUGACCCCCAGCCAUAAGAUGAUUUCCUUGCUACUUCAUAACUAUAAAUUUGUUGCUAUUAUGAAUCAUAGUGCAAUAUCUGAUAUGCAGGAUAUUAGAUGUGUGACCCCUGGCUUCCAGGGGCGAGGGUUCCCCACAGUGACCUCUUUCUUCCUUAACUUCCUUCAUGAUACCAAGUUGCUACUUCAGGAGGUAUAUUUAUCCCCAAACUGGCAGAGCCAAGACCCAUUGUGGGGCUAGAGAGAACAUUCUUUCUUUCUCUCACCACUCCUCCAAAGAAUAAAGGAAAGCUGUGAGUUUUGCCGUUAUUCAUUCUUUGGACUUCAACUAUAUAAAGAACUUGAAUGCUGCCAGGUGUGGUGGCAUAUACCCAUAAUUCCAGCUCUCAAGUGACUGAGUCAGUGUUGAGAGUACCAAUGUUGAGAGUACCAGGGCUAAUACAUAGUAAGACUCUGCCUCAAAAGGG